rnacentral:rRNA from 1 species
AGUGGCGAACGGGUGAGUAACACGUGAGUAACCUGCCCUUAACUCUGGGAUAAGCCUGGGAAACUGGGUCUAAUACCGGAUAUGACUCCUCAUCGCAUGGUGGGGGGUGGAAAGCUUUUUGUGGAUUUGGAUGGACUCGCGGCCUAUCAGCUUGUUGGUGAGGUAAUGGCUUACCAAGGCGAUGACGGGUAGCCGGCCUGAGAGGGUGACCGGCCACACUGGGACUGAGACACGGCCCAGACUCCUACGGGAGGCAGCAGUGGGGAAUAUUGCACAAUGGGCGCAAGCCUGAUGCAGCGACGCCGCGUGAGGGAUGACGGCCUUCGGGUUGUAAACCUCUUUCAGUAGGGAAGAAGCGAAAGUGACGGUACCUGCAGAAGAAGCGCCGGCUAACUACGUGCCAGCAGCCGCGGUAAUACGUAGGGCGCAAGCGUUAUCCGGAAUUAUUGGGCGUAAAGAGCUCGUAGGCGGUUUGUCGCGUCUGCCGUGAAAGUCCGGGGCUCAACUCCGGAUCUGCGGUGGGUACGGGCAGACUAGAGUGAUGUAGGGGAGACUGGAAUUCCUGGUGUAGCGGUGAAAUGCGCAGAUAUCAGGAGGAACACCGAUGGCGAAGGCAGGUCUCUGGGCAUUAACUGACGCUGAGGAGCGAAAGCAUGGGGAGCGAACAGGAUUAGAUACCCUGGUAGUCCAUGCCGUAAAC